rnacentral:rRNA from 1 species
GACGAACGCUGGCGGCGUGCCUAAUACAUGCAAGUUGAGCGCUGAAGGUUGGUACUUGUACCGACUGGAUGAGCAGCGAACGGGUGAGUAACGCGUGGGGAAUCUGCCUUUGAGCGGGGGACAACAUUUGGAAACGAAUGCUAAUACCGCAUAAAAACUUUAAACACAAGUUUUAAGUUUGAAAGAUGCAAUUGCAUCACUCAAAGAUGAUCCCGCGUUGUAUUAGCUAGUUGGUGAGGUAAAGGCUCACCAAGGCGAUGAUACAUAGCCGACCUGAGAGGGUGAUCGGCCACAUUGGGACUGAGACACGGCCCAAACGCCUACGGGAGGCAGCAGUAGGGAAUCUUCGGAAAUGGACGAAAGUCUGACCGAGCAACGCCGCGUGAGUGAAGAAGGUUUUCGGAUCGUAAAACUCUGUUGGUAGAGAAGAACGUUGGUGAGAGUGGAAAGCUCAUCAAGUGACGGUAACUACCCAGAAAGGGACGGCUAACUACGUG